rnacentral:rRNA from 1 species
GACGAACCGUGCAAACGUUGUUCGGAAUCACUGGGCUUAAAGGGCGCGUAGGCGGGCCAGCCAGUCUGUGGUGAAAGCCUCCAGCUUAACUGGAGAAGUGCCGUGGAUACUGCUGGCCUCGAGGAGGAUAGGGGCAUCUGGAACGGUCGGUGGAGCGGUGAAAUGCGCAGAUAUCGUAAGGAAGACCAGUGGCGAAGGCG